UACAGAGGGUGCAACCGUUGUUCGGAAUUACUGGGCGUAAAGCGUGUGUAGGCGGCCACGUAAGUCGGAUGUGAAAGCCCUGGGCUCAACCCAGGAAGUGCACUCGAUACUGCGUGGCUCGAGUACUGGAGAGGUUGGUGGAAUUCUCGGUGUAGAGGUGAAAUUCGUAGAUAUCGAGAGGAACACCGGUGGCGAAGGCGGCCAACUGGACAGAUACUGACGCUGAGGCGCGAAAGCGUGGGGAGCAAACAGG
rnacentral:rRNA from 1 species